UCAGCGUUUGGUUUGAUAAAACCGUGGAACUCUGCGUUUUGGCUUCACCCAAUUAGGGCUUCAAUUGUUAUCCUCCUUCCAGAACUCAACCUCGCCGUCUCCCCUUUUCAUAAUCUGCAAAGCUAAUGAUUCCUCCUCUCAUCUCUUUAUCUUCCCUAUCGUUCAAUAUAUUUCUAUUGCUCAACGUAUUUCUUUUGAUUAGCCAAUAAUUGUUAUUCACAUUAAACCCAGUAACAAUGUGGACCUUUCUGUUUCCUUCACGACAAUCUAUAAAUAGAAGAGGGUUGAGAGAAUGAUGGAUCUUCAUCUCCACUCAACAAGCUCCGAUUCUGUCCCGGAAUCCACUGCUCUGUUUUGGCCGGCGAGACCACAAAACGAUCCGUGGAAGAUGUCCCUGACAUAUCAUGGGACUGUGAGAUAGAUUCAGUCAAGAACGCCACUUCUCUUCAUAGAUUGCUCUCCAGUUCAGCAGAAAAUAGCUAUUGACAGAGUCGACAUCGGAGAGAGAGGACUUGAAUAAGCUGAAAAAGUAAAGAAAAGAAACUCACCGGUGAUUAUGGCUGUUGUGGAACGAGGGUCACAGUUCUCCGUUACCUCAUCGGCUGGAAUCAAUUACCUUCGCAGUCGAUGACGAUUCUCACGGGGUAACCAUGUACAUGAAGCCGCUAACAAUUGGGCGACCAAGGUAGGAAACGCCGUAGCACAGUGACUUCUUGUGAACAUGUGUUCUGUAAAGCUUGUUUGAUUGAAUUGCUGCAUCCCUGAGACAAGUCAGCUGUCCAACAUGCUCAACACUACUGACUAUGGAUUGGACUGCUAAAGCUAACAUUGAGUAGCAGGCAAAGAAGACAACAAUUAAAGGAUUUAGAGCCUCAAGCAUUUUAAAUCGGAUCAAGCUCGAUGAUUUUCAGACAAGUACAAAAAUAGAGGCUUUGAGGAAAGAAAUAAGGCUCAUGGUCGAAAGAGAUGGGUCUGCAAAAGCAAUAGUUCUCAGUCGGUUCACAUCAUUCUUGGUUCUGAUAAACUACACCGUCGGGAAGUGUGGGGUUUUGUUGCACCCAACUGGUGGGAAGCAUGUCAAUGGCAGCUAGAGAUGUUGCUAUAAAUAAAUUCACAGAAGAUCCAAAUUGCAGAAUUUUCUUGAUGAGUUUGAAAGCUGGAGGGGUUGCUCUCAACUUAACAGUCCUUUCUAUGUUUUGUGGUCUGAUCGUGAAACGAUUGUUUCCUACGUGACGUUGCAUGUAGAUCGUUUAUAUGAUAUGUUUUUAGUAUCCAA